AUGGUGAAUUACAUUAGUAGAAUAAGUGAUUACAGAACAUCAUUUGGAUACAUGAAUAAUGAAUUAUAUCCAUGCAAUAAACAAAUCAAUUUGUACAGAAUAUAUAUAAAGAAAACCUUGGUCUCUAAACACUAUCUCUGUCUUCAUGUAUUUAUCUCAUCCUUCUGUAUGUUUUCCACUUUUCUUCUUUACAUAGUAAUUUCAGUUUCUAAUCCUUUUGAACUUUCGCGUUGGUAUAUAUGA